rnacentral:rRNA from 1 species
GAUGAACGCUGGCGGCGUGCCUAAUACAUGCAAGUCGAGCGAACAGACGCGGAGCUUGCUCCUCUGACGUUAGCGGCGGACGGGUGAGUAACACGUGGAUAACCUACCUAUCAGACUGGGAUAACUUCGGGAAACCGGAGCUAAUACCGGAUAAUAUAUUGAACCGCAUGGUUCAAUAGUGAAAGACGGUUUUGCUGUCACUUAUCGAUGGAUCCGGGCCGGAUUAGCUAGUUGGUGAGGUAACGGCUUUCCAAGGCAACGAUGCGUAGCCGACCUGAGAGGGGGAUCGGCCACACUGGAACUGAGACACGGUCCAGACUCCGACGGGAGGCAGCAGUAGGGAAUCUUCCGCAAUGUGCGAAAGCCUGACGAAGCAACGCCGCGUGAGUGAUGAAGGGCUGCGGAUCGUAAAACUCUGUUAUUAGGGAAGAACAAAUGUGUAAGUAACGAUGCACGUCUUGACGGUACCGAAUCAGAAAGCCACGGCUAACUACGU